GUGGGGAAUAUUGGGCAAUGGGGGAAACCCUGACCCAGCGACGCCGCGUGAGGGAAGACGGCCUUCGGGUUGUAAACCUCUUUUGUACGGGAAGAAGGAAGUGACGGUACUGUACGAAUAAGUCCCGGCUAACUACGUGCCAGCAGCCGCGGUAAUACGUAGGGGACGAGCGUUGUCCGGAAUUACUGGGCGUAAAGGGCGCGCAGGCUGUGCUGCAAGUCAGCUGUGAAAUGUCUGGGCUUAACCCGGGCAUGCGGUUGAGACUGCAGUGCUGGAGUGCUGUAGAGGCAAGUGGAAUUCCCAGUGUAGCGGUGAAAUGCGUAGAUAUUGGGAAGAACACCAGUGGCGAAGGCGACUUUCUGGACGAUGUCUGACGCUGAGGCGCGAAAGCUAGGGGAGCGAACGGGAUUAGAUACCCCUGUAGUCC
rnacentral:rRNA from 1 species